rnacentral:lncRNA from 1 species
UACUGCGAUGGAUUUACGAAGCAAGCUAUGUUGUGAGAUGUUCGAUCUGUUUAUGGAUAAAGAUUUCCAGGAAGGUUGCAGAAGGUGAUCAUUCCGUUUCUGUUAGAUGUUUGUGUCUGUUUAAUGUCUUCUUUCAUAGGAUUGUGCUCUGUUCUGAUGUGUUAGGAUGGUUGCUCUGUUGUUUAAGCAGUCUGUUUUUGUUUCUCUAUGUGAAUCUACGGUUAAAAGUUUAAAUUGUUGAUGA